rnacentral:rRNA from 1 species
UACAGAGGGUGCGAGCGUUAAUCGGAAUUACUGGGCGUAAAGCGCGCGUAGGCGGCUUUGCAAGUCGGGUGUGAAAUCCCCAGGCUUAACCUGGGAACUGCAUUCGAGACUGCAUUGCUAGAGUAUGGGAGAGGGAAGUGGAAUUUCCGGUGUAGCGGUGAAAUGCGUAGAUAUCGGAAGGAACAUCAGUGGCGAAAGCGACUUCCUGGACAAAUACUGACGCUCAUGUGCGAAAGCGUGGGGAGCAAACAGG